UACGUAGGGGGCUAGCGUUAUCCGGAAUUACUGGGCGUAAAGCGCGCGUAGGCGGUUUCUUAAGUCUGAUGUGAAAGCCCACGGCUCAACCGUGGAGGGUCAUUGGAAACUGGGAAACUUGAGUGCAGAAGAGGAAAGUGGAAUUCCAUGUGUAGCGGUGAAAUGCGCAGAGAUAUGGAGGAACACCAGUGGCGAAGGCGACUUUCUGGUCUGUAACUGACACUGAGGCACGAAAGCGUGGGGAUCAA
rnacentral:rRNA from 1 species